rnacentral:rRNA from 1 species
GAUGAACGCUGGCGGCGUGCUUAACACAUGCAAGUCGAACGGAAAGGCUCCUGCUUGCAGGGGUACUCGAGUGGCGAACGGGUGAGUAACACGUGGGUGAUCUGCCCUGCACUUCGGGAUAAGCCUGGGAAACUGGGUCUAAUACCGGAUAGGACCACAUUUUGGAUGGUGUGGUGGAAAGUUUUUCGGUGUGGGAUGAGCUCGCGGCCUAUCAGCUUGUUGGUGGGGUAAUGGCCUACCAAGGCGUCGACGGGUAGCCGGCCUGAGAGGGUGUACGGCCACAUUGGGACUGAGAUACGGCCCAGACUCCUACGGGAGGCAGCAGUGGGGAAUAUGGCACAAUGGGCGCAAGCCUGAUGCAGCGACGCCGCGUGGGGGAUGACGGCCUUCGGGUUGUAAACUCCUUUCGCUAGGGACGAAGCGCAAGUGACGGUACCUGGAGAAGAAGCACCGGCUAACUACGUG